ACCAGUGUGGUGCUGUGGCUUGAGUGUCGGACUGCAACUCUGGAGACCAGGGUUCAAAUCCCUGCCCAGUAA